AGAGUUUGAUCCUGGCUCAGGAUGAACGCUGGCGGCGUGUUUAACACAUGCAAGUCGAGCGAGAAGCUCAUGACGGAUACUUCGGUUGACGGAUUGAGUGGAAAGCGGCGGACGGGUGAGUAACGCGUAGGCAACCUGCCCUUUGCAGAGGGAUAGCCUCGGGAAACCGGGAUUAAAACCUCAUAAUGCGGCACCAAGACAUCUUGGAGUCGCCAAAGAUUUAUCGGCAAAGGAUGGGCCUGCGUCUGAUUAGCUAGUUGGUGAGGUAACGGCUCACCAAGGCGACGAUGCGUAGCCGACCUGAGAGGGUGAUCGGCCACAUUGGGACUGAGACACGGCCCAGACUCCUACGGGAGGCAGCAGUGGGGAAUAUUGGGCAAUGGGCGCAAGCCUGACCCAGCAACGCCGCGUGAAGGAUGAAGGUCUUCGGAUUGUAAACUUCUUUGAUCAGGGACGAAACAAAUGACGGUACCUGAAGAACAAGCCACGGCUAACUACGUGCCAGCAGCCGCGGUAAUACGUAGGUCUCAAGCGUUAUCCGGAUUUACUGGGCGUAAAGUAUCCGUAGCCUGAUAUGUAAGUCUGUUUUCAAAUCCCACGACUCAAUCGUGGAAAGGGAAUGGAUACUGCAUAUCUAGAAGUUAUUGGGGGUUAGUGGAAUUUCCGGUGGAGCGGUGAAAUGCGUUGAUAUCGGAAAGAACGCCGAAAGCGAAAGCAGCUAACUAUGAUUAACUUGACGGUGAGGGAUGAAAGUUUGGGUAGCAAACGGGAUUAGAUACCCCGGUAGUCCAAACUGUAAAUUAUGCUUGCUAGGUGUUUCGAUCCUUGUGGUCGGAGUGCCGUAAUCUAACGAGUUAAGCAAGUCGCCUGGGUAGUAUAUUCGCAAGAAUGAAACUCAAAGGGAUAGGCGGGGGAACACACAAGCAGUGGAUUAUCUAGAUUAAUUGGAUACUAAGCCAAGAAUCUUACCUAGAAUUGACAUGCAAUGUGUCUCAUAUGAAAGUAUGAUAUUUGUAGCAAUACAGAGCUUUGCACAGGUGGUGCAUGGUCGUCGUCAGCUCGUGCCGCAAGGUGUCUAGUUAAGUCUGGAAACGAGCGCAACCCUCAUCGUUAGUUAGUA
rnacentral:rRNA from 1 species